GUCUUAUUGAAUAUAAUUUUAAGUCUAAUCUGCCCAAUGAAUUAUUAAAUGGCUGCAGUAUUUUAACUGUACAAAGGUAGCAUAAUAAUUAGUUUUUUAAUUAGAAACUGGAAUGAAUGAUUGAACGAGAUAAUAACUGUCUUAAUUUAAAUUAAAGAAUUUUAUUUUUAAGUAAAAAAGCUUAAAUUUUCUUAAAAGACGAGAAGACCCUAUAGAAUUUUAUAAUAAUUAUGAUAUAAAGAUAUUAGUAUAAGUAAUUUUUAUUUUUAUAGUUUUAUUUAGUUGGGGUGAUUGAAAAAUUUAUUUAACUUUUUUUAUUAUUUUUUAUAUUGAUAUAUAAUUAUUUGAUCCAAUAUUUUUGAUUAUAAGAUUAAAUUACCUUAGGGAUAACAGCGUAAUUUUUUUAGAGAGUUCUUAUCGAUAAAAGAGAUUGCGACCUCGAUGUUGGAUUAAAGUUAAUUUUUAAUGUAGAAGUUAAAAAAUUAGGUCUGUUCGACCUUUAAAUCUUUACAUGAUCUGAGUUUAAAUCGGCGUGAGCCAGGUUGGAUUCUAUCUUUAAUUAAAUAGAAUAUUUUAGUACGAAAGGACCAAAUAUUUAUUAUAGUAAUUUUUAUUGAAUAGUA
rnacentral:rRNA from 1 species